rnacentral:rRNA from 1 species
GUAGUCAUAUGCUUGUCUCAAAGAUUAAGCCAUGCAUGUCUAAGUAUAAACAACUUUAUACUGUAAAACUGCGAACGGCUCAUUAUAUCAGCAAUAAUUUAUUUGAUGAUUUCUUACUACAUGGAUAACUGUAGUAAUUCUAGAGCUAAUACAUGCGCAAAGUCCUAACUCGCGAGGGGAGGGAUGUAUUUAUUAGAUACAAAACCAAUGCGGGUUCUGCCCGCCAUUGUGUUGAAUCAUAGUAACUUAUCGAACGCCAUAGCCUUGUGCUGGGCGUAGAUCAUUCAAAUUUCUGCCCUAUCAGCUUUCGACGGUAGUGUAGUGGACUACCGUGGCGUUAACGGGUAACGGGGAAUA